GACGAACGCUGGCGGCGUGGAUUAGGCAUGCAAGUCGAACGGUAUCAUCCUUUCGGGGGUGAGAGAGUGGCGAACUGGUGAGUAACACGUAGGUUAUCUACCCUCAAGACGGGGACAACCCGGGGAAACUUGGGCUAAUACCGGAUGUGAGCAACUUUUAGUUGUUUGAAAGGUGGCGUAAGCUGUCGCUUGGGGAUGAGCCUGCGUCCUAUUAGUUAGUUGGUGAGGUAACGGCUCACCUAGGCAAUGAUAGGUAGGCGGCCUUAACGGGUGGUCGCCCACACUGGGAUUGAGAUACGGCCCAGACUCCUACGGGAGGCAGCAGUCGAGAAUAGUCUACAAUGGUCGGAAGACUGAUAGUGCGACGCCGCGUGAACGAUGAAUCCCUUCGGGGUGUAAAGUUCUUUUAUAUGUGAGCAGUGCUUCUUAUAUUAACAGUAUGGGGAGAGAGAUAUUAGCAUAUGAAUAAGCAACGGCUAACUCCGUGCCAGCAGCCGCGGUAAUCUCGU
rnacentral:rRNA from 1 species